CAGUAGCCGCGGGAAUACCGAGGGUGCGAGCGUUAAUCGGAUUUACUGGGCGUAAAGCGUGCGUAGGCGGCUUCUUAAGUCGGAUGUGAAAUCCCUGAGCUUAACUUAGGAAUUGCAUUCGAUACUGGGAAGCUAGAGUAUGGGAGAGGAUGGUAGAAUUCCAGGUGUAGCGGUGAAAUGCGUAGAGAUCUGGAGGAAUACCGAUGGCGAAGGCAGCCAUCUGGCCUAAUACUGACGCUGAGGUACGAAAGCAUGGGGAGCAAACAGGAUUAGAUACCCCUGUAGUCCCUGUCUCUUAUAA
rnacentral:rRNA from 1 species